CCAUCAUUAGGUCCUUGACGUGUCCACAAAUGAGCUCUUCACAUAUCAAAUGAAAAGGAACUCUCUCCCUUUCUCCGUAAGAAUAGUGGCGUCUGCCGCCUGGGUGUUGUAGUCACCAGAGACUCUGGGCCCUGAAAUGACCUAUAAUAGAAAAUCUUCGAAAUUACUAUAUUGUCCCCAACAGACGAUCGUAGACGGCUUUUCAAAGGAAAAGCAACACGAGAAGCGAGCAAACCCAAAUAAAAGGUGGUUUUCU
rnacentral:misc_RNA from 1 species